UACGUAGGGGGGCUAGCGUUGUCCGGAAUCAUUGGGCGUAAAGAGCGUGUAGGCGGUCCGGUAAGUCCGCUGUGAAAGUCGGGGGCUCAACCCUCGAAUGCCGGUGGAAACUGUCGGGCUAGAGUGCGGAAGAGGCGAGUGGAAUUCCUGGUGUAGCGGUGAAAUGCGCAGAUAUCAGGAGGAACACCGAUUGCGAAGGCAGCUCGCUGGGACGUAACUGACGCUGAGACGCGAAAGCGUGGGGAGCAAACAGG
rnacentral:rRNA from 1 species